rnacentral:lncRNA from 1 species
AUCUCAGCUCACUGCAACCUCCACCUCCUGGAUUCAAGUGAUUCUCCUGCCUCAGCUUCCCAGGUAGGCCUCAGCCUCCCAAAGUGCUAGGAUUACAGGUGUGAGCCAUAGCACCUAGCCUUAAUUGGCUUUUAUUUGUUAUUCUAGAAUUGGGCAAUAGAAUGAGUGUCCCGAUUUGCUGAACAGAGGAGGCUGGUUUUACAGAUGGAGAAGGCUGACAAAGCAGAAACAGAACAAAAAGUGGAUUGGUUAUUUCAAAGUGACUUUCAGCUGUGUGCAGUGGCUCACACCUGUAAUCCCAGCACUUUGGGAGGCCGAGGCGGGUGGAUCACCU